UGCUCGCUUCGGCAGCAGCUUACUAAAACUAGAACGAUACAGAGAAGAUUAGCACGGCCGCUGCGCAAAGAUGACAUGCAAAUUCAUGAAGUGUUCCAUAAAGAA